rnacentral:rRNA from 1 species
AAUUAUUUUAAAGUAAAAUUAAGUUUUUGUACCUUGUGUAUCAGGGUUUAUUAAUUAAUAAUUAUAAAUUUAAUUUUCUCGAUUUUAAAAGAGCUAAAAAAUUAUAAAUUUUAUUGUAGAAUAAAUAUUUAUAAUAAUUUUUUUGUAAUGAAACGUUAUUCGUUUUUAAAUAUAUCUAGUUUUUAAAGAAAAGAAUUUAAUUCUAUUUAUUAAAUUAUAAAAUUUAUUAAUAAAUUUUAUUAAAUUAAUAAAAAAUAUUUUUGGGGAUAAGCUUAAAAGUAUAAUUUUAUAAAUAUUAUUUAUUGUGUAAUAAGCUGUAGGAUUAGAAAUUUUCAUCUAUUAUAAUUUGUUAUAAUUAAUUUUUAUAUGAAUUUAAUUUUUAUUUAUUUUAAAUUUUUUAUUUAAAUAAUUUAUUUAAUAAGAAAAUAAAUGUAAUAAUGAUAAAAUUAGUAUAAUUUUAUUUAUGAAUAUGUUAAUAUUUAUAGGUUAUUUUAAGGAACUCGGCAAAUAUUUUUUCGCCUGUUUAUUAAAAACAUGUCUUUUUGAUUUUAAUUUAAAGUCUGACCUGCCCACUGAAUUUUGAAUGGCCGCGGUACUUUGACCGUGCGAAGGUAGCAUAAUAAUUAGUUUUUUAAUUGAAAGCUGGAAUGAAUGGUUGAACGAGAAAAAUACUGUCUCAAUUUAAAUUUAUUAGAAUUUUAUUUUUAAGUUAAAAAGCUUAAAUGAUUUUAAAAGACGAGAAGACCCUAUAGAGUUUUAUAGAUUUUAUUAUUUUAAAUUUUUAGAAUUAUAUAAUUUUUUAUAAUAAUAUUUAUUUUAUUGGGGUGAUAAAAAAAUUUAAUAAACUUUUUUUUAAUUAAAACAUUUAUUUAUGAAUUUUUGAUCCAUUAUUUAUGAUUAUAAGAUUAAAUUACCUUAGGGAUAACAGCGUAAUUUCUUUAAAGAGUUCAAAUCGAAAAAGAAGUUUGCGACCUCGAUGUUGGAUUAAAAUUAAAUUUUGGUGUAGAAGCUAAAAGAUUAGGUCUGUUCGACCUUUAAAAUUUUACAUGAUCUGAGUUUAAACCGGCGUGAGCCAGGUUGGUUUCUAUCUUUAAAAAAAUUAAAUUUUUUAGUACGAAAGGACCAAAUAUUUAUAAAAUUUAUUAUAUAUUGAAUACCACUAAUUU